CCAUAAAUAUCAAGAUAUAUUAAACAGGAAUCCAAUGGCUAAUACAGGUAGAUGGAUGAGCAUCGACAACACGUGGUGAUUGUCAGCUGAAUUCAUGUCACUAAAGGGUGAUGCCUCCUGCUCAUAUUCACUGAUUCACAGCCUGGUAACAAGAAAGACUGGAUCCAAAGGAUCGCCCAUCUGGAUACGCGGGCGCGUGCUGGUCUAACACAUGGCGAUCGCCUGCUCGCGCUUGACCACGCCUGUCCUUAAACCUGACACAUGGCAAGCGUACAUUCAAACUCACCUCAAGAUGGACAAUCUGCUUGUACAGUCUGGGACGUUGACCGCGCUUACUUUACUUCCUGGUAUGCAGCAGCGACAGCGCUUCUCAGUCGAUACCCGACUGAGUAGCUAUAUAUAGCAGCGCAUAACAAGUGGAAACGUGAAAAAACCGGAAUGUUAGUUAUUUUCAUGCUUAUUAAUUUGAACUUGUCCGAAGUAACGUGAGAGAUUACAAACACAUUCUCACAAUUCAAUCGAGAAUAUUUGUUCAGUCCGCUUGUCAUUCAUUCUACAUGAUGAUAUGCAUAAGGUGUCAGAAUUUGUAACAAUCAUUCGUCGAUAAAUGAAAUACAAUCCUUGAGUAUGUUU